GUGCACACACGCACACACACCUUAUUGCCCUACUGACUGUUUCUCUGGAGAACGCUACCCUAGUCCACACCUUAACCUAAAUUAACCUGGCACUCCAAGAUACCUCCUAGGAUAAAACACAAAGACUCAUUAAGUGGGAGGGAUCGAAAGAGCACAC